GACGAACGUUGGCGGCGUGCUUAACACAUGCAAGUCGCACGGGGCUGGGGGCAACUCCAGUUCAGUGGCGGACGGGCGCGUAACACGUAAGUAACACGUCCAUGGGUGGGGGAUAGCCGGCCCAACGGCCGGGUAAUACCGCAUGCAGUCACCGGCGGCAUUGUCGGUGACGAAAGCCGGGGCAACCUGGCGCCCGCGGAGUGGCUUGCGGCCUAUCAGCUAGUUGGUGAGGUAAUGGCUCACCAAGGCUACGACGGGUAGCUGGUCUGAGAGGAUGACCAGCCACAUUGGGACUGAGACACGGCCCAGACUCCUACGGGAGGCAGCAGUGGGGAAUAUUGCGCAAUGGGCGAAAGUCUGACGCAGCGACGCCGCGUGUGGGAUGAAGGUCUUCGGAUCGUAAACCACUGUCAGAGGGGACGAAUGCCCGGGGUUAACUGCCGCCGGGCUUGACGGUACCCUCGGAGGAAGCACCGGCUAACUCUGUGCCAGCAGCCGCGGUAAUAC
rnacentral:rRNA from 1 species